UCGGGAAUUUUGGGCAAUGGGCGAAAGCCUGACCCAGCAACGCCGCGUGAGGGAUGAAGUAUUUCGGUAUGUAAACCUCGAAAGAAUGGGAAGAAUAAAUGACGGUACCAUUUAUAAGCGCCGGCUAACUACGUGCCAGCAGCCGCGGUAAUACGUAGGGAGCAAGCGUUGUUCGGAUUUACUGGGCGUAAAGGGCGCGUAGGCGGCGCGGUAAGUCACUUGUGAAAUCUCUGAGCUUAACUCAGAACGGCCAAGUGAUACUGCUGUGCUAGAGUGCGGAAGAGGCAACCGGAAUUCUUGGUGUAGCGGUGAAAUGCGUAGAUAUCAAGAGGAACACCUGAGGCGAAGGCGGGUUGCUGGGCCGACACUGACGCUGAUGCGCGAAAGCCAGGG
rnacentral:rRNA from 1 species